rnacentral:rRNA from 1 species
CGCUGGCGGCGUGCGUAACACAUGCAAGUCGAACGGACGAUGCGGAAGGGGCAACUUGGAAGCGUCGUUAGUGGCGGACGGGUGAGUAACACGUGAGGACCGGACCUAGCGAGGGGGAUAACGGCUGGAAACGGCUGCUAAUACCCCAUAGGCGUCAGGAAUGACGUAAAAGGAGGAAUCCGCGCUAGGAGGGACUCGCGGCCUAUCAGCUAGUUGGCGGGGUAAGGGCCCACCAAGGCGAAGACGGGUAGCCGGCCUGAGAGGGUGAACGGCCACAUUGGAACUGAGACACGGUCCAAA